CCUACGGGUGGCAGCAGUGAGGAAUAUUGGUCAAUGGACGAGAGUCUGAACCAGCCAAGUAGCGUGAAGGAUGACUGCCCUAUGGGUUGUAAACUUCUUUUAUAAAGGAAUAAAACGAGGCACGUGUGCCUUUUUGCAUGUACUUUAUGAAUAAGGAUCGGCUAACUCCGUGCCAGCAGCCGCGGUAAGACGGAGGAUCCGAGCGUUAUCCGGAUUUAUUGGGUUUAAAGGGAGCGUAGAUGGGUUGUUAAGUCAGUUGUGAAAGUUUGCGGCUCAACCGUAAAAUUGCAAUUGAUACUGGCAGUCUAGAGUACAGUUGAGGUAGGCGGAAUUCGUGGUGUAGCGGUGAAAUGCUUAGAUAUCACGAAGAACCCCGAUUGCGAAGGCAGCUUACUAAACUGUGACUGACAUUGAUGCUCGAAAGUGUGGGUAUCAAACAGGAUUAGAUACCCCUGUAGUC
rnacentral:rRNA from 1 species